CUUUUUUUUUUUUUUGUGGUUUAUGUUGCUGGGGAUCAAACCCAGGGCUUUGCCACAUGCUAGGCAAGUAUUUAACCACUAAGCUAUAGCCCCUAGCCCUUCCAUUUUCUAUGUAAGUAUUAUCAAAGUUUUUUUUUUUUUAAAGAGAAAGAGAGAGAGAACUUUUUAAUGUUUAUUUAUUUUUUUGGUUUUCGGCGGACACAACAUCUUUGUUUGUAUGUGGUGCUGAGGAUCGAACCCGGGCCGCACGCAUGCCAGGCGAGCGCGCUACCACUUGAGCCACAUCCCCAGCCCCUUGGGAAAAUUCUUUAUGAGAGACUUCGUUGAAGUGAAAUAUUCACUGUAAUCAGGAGUCAGAAGCCAGUCACCUAACCCUACAUGUUCUCCUUCCCUUGCAUAUCAGGCUAUUCAUUCUGUUUUCCUUUUCAACAACUUAGGGUAAAUUGGUAAUACUGUUCUAUCUAAAACCCUUCUCAGCAUUUUCUCCUUUCUGUCUCUUUCUGUCUGAGGUCAGCCACAUAUCUACUCUCUAGAAACCUUAUUGUCUUUUUUUUUCUUUUGCUGGUAAUUGAACACAGGGUCUUGUGCAUGCCAGACAGGCACUCUACCAACUAAGCUAUAUCCCCAGCCCAUAGAAACCUUACUGUCUUAUUUUGGUCAAGUCCAAUGAUAGCUUUUUAUAGGUCCUUAUGCUCAAAGAGACUAGAUGAGGAGAUGAGGAGUUUUUUUACUUAAUAGCUAAUGAUUUUGGGGUGACUGGGAUUCAGGGAGGGUCUGGGAACCUUUAAGAAUUCUGUUAAUUUUCUCUUUUUUGAAAUGGGGUCUCUCCAUGCUGUCCUGGCUGGGCUCAAGUGAUUUUUUUUUUAAAGAGAGAGAGAGAGAAUUAAUUUUUUUAAUAUUUAUUUUUCAGUUUUUGGUUGACAUCUUUAUUUUAUUUUUAUGUGGUGCUGAGGAUCGAACCCAGCGUCCCAUGCAUGCCAGGUGAGCAUGUUACCGCGUGAGCCACAUCCCCAGCCCUCAAGUGAUUUUUCAUGUCUUAGCCCCUCUAAGGCUUCUGAGUAGCCGAGACUGAAGAUUGAAGGACUUCCUACCCCAACUUUUUAGAAUUUGAAUGUCAAAUGGGGCCUGAUAAAUCUUCCUAGAGAGAAGAAUUCCCAGCAUUGGUAUAUUUGGAUAACCAUGAUUCCUCUGUAGUAGUGAUAGAACACAUUGAUGUGACUAUUGUUUGUGUAGCAGAAUAUUAAAAUAUGGUAGGCAUAAUGGUACCCCACAGAAAAUGAGCCAUAAAAGGGCCUUUUAGAAUCAGGAUUUUUUUUCCCCCUGUGGCACUUGAGAUUGAACCCAGGGGCCCUAUGGCACCUAGGUCCGUCCCCAGCCCUUUUUACUGUUUUGAUACAGGAUCAUGCUAAAUUGGUCUUGAACUUACAGUCCUCCUAUCUCAGCCUCCCAUGUUGCUGGGGUUACAGAUAUGUGCCACCAUUCCUGGCUGUGGCUCAUUUGUUUUAGGUUACAUAAAUGGAGAAUUUUAAAGACUAUAAGAUCGUCUCUUUUUUGGGGGGGUCUGUAGGUAAUGGUACUGGGAAUUGAACCCAGAAGGGCUUUAAACUGAGCUGUAUCCCCAGGUGUUUUUAUUUUUAUUUGGCGACAGGUCUCACAGCCCAGGCUGUCCUUGAAUUUAAAACCCUUCAGUCUCAACCUCUCCAGUUGUUGGGAUUAUAGGCAUGUGCCACUGUACUAGCCUACAAGACCUUCUCGAUUGUACUACCCUUUAAUAGGUGGAGUAGUACUCAGCAUUGGGCUUUCAGACUCAAAAUGGUAUGUAAUCAAAAAGGCCUUGCAGUCUUUGUUUGUAUGUGGUGCUGAGGAUCGAACCCGGGCCGCACGCAUGCCAGGCGAGCGCAUUACCGCUUGAGCCACAUCCCCA
rnacentral:lncRNA from 1 species